AUGCAAUACCACCUUCAUACACCAGGGCCGUUGCCUCAAACCGAGGGGUGGGGACCUUGGUCUGCCUCAGACAGACCGAGUAGGGGGGUACCUGCAGAGCUGGACACCCCGGAGAGCCAGAGAGCUGCAGUUUCAGGACCGCAGUUUCAGGACCGCAGUUCUACGACCCUCGUUUUAUCUGACAACGCCACGUAGCGAAUGGAAUAAAUAUGGACCGGAACAAGAUAAUAUUUUCCUGCAGUAGUGAAUAUUGUAGGAUUACGGCUCAGAACAAGAUGGACUAGAAUCAGAGUGCCAUCAUAUAGGCUACGGCCUGAGUAUGCUGAGGAAUCUGUCCCUGCAGGAUGCAGAAAAGGUCUUCAUCUCUGGACCAGUUUAUCAUCGGAGGAUGCAGUUGUAUGGAGGUCUAGAUGGAAUGAUAUGGAGGGGAUGGAGUGAUAUGGAAGGGUGAUUGUCAUUGUUUGACAAUUAUUCAAAAUAAACAAUGUAUAUCUUGAAUCUGCCCUGAGAGUCAACCUUGUGACUUGCCUCUCUAACAUUACACAUUUGUGGUUGACAUUGAGUGACUGCAAAAGCCAUAGCAAAUAGAAUACAAUAGAACUUCACUUUUCCAGAACUUUGUGGUGUCAGACACAUCCAAAAUGUAGCAUGCACACAGGCAUGUGCAGUAUUUACAGGAAUUUGAAAGAUGAUCUGUGUCAAUGUUUUGAGUCAUGUCCAAUACAAAACAUCAUCUAGCAUGCCCAUCCACACCAAAGGAAGCAUCCUUAUGCAGCCCAUCCACCAUAGAGAUUCACCACCAGCAGCAGAGAAGGAAGCGUUGGAUCCUCCGCAGCACCACCAUCCCACAUUACUCAAAGAAAAUGUUUUUUUUGUGAUGAUGACAUUGAAUAAAUUAAAGGAUAACAGAUUAGA